AAAUAUGAAGCAAUACAUUGCAAUCAGUUUCGACCUGACCCCCUAAGUAGUAAUACUCUUAUUUU
rnacentral:tRNA from 2 species